GAUGAACGCUGGCGGCGUGCCUAAUACAUGCAAGUCGAGCGAACGGACGAGAAGCUUGCUUCUCUGAUGUUAGCGGCGGACGGGUGAGUAACACGUGGAUAACCUACCUAUAAGACUGGGAUAACUUCGGGAAACCGGAGCUAAUACCGGAUAAUAUUUUGAACCGCAUGGUUCAAAAGUGAAAGACGGUCUUGCUGUCACUUAUAGAUGGAUCCGCGCUGCAUUAGCUAGUUGGUAAGGUAACGGCUUACCAAGGCAACGAUGCAUAGCCGACCUGAGAGGGUGAUCGGCCACACUGGAACUGAGACACGGUCCAGACUCCUACGGGAGGCAGCAGUAGGGAAUCUUCCGCAAUGGGCGAAAGCCUGACGGAGCAACGCCGAGUGAGUGAUGAAGGUCUUCGGAUUGUAAAACUCUGUUAUUAGGGAAGAACAUAUGUGUAAGUAACUGUGCACAUCUUGACGGUACCUAAUCAGAAAGCCACGGCUAACUACGUG
rnacentral:rRNA from 1 species